AAAUCACUCAGUUCUUGACGCUGUCACAAGAAGAACACAAAUGAAAAUUGUCAAGUGAAAUCCAAAAUUCCACAGUUUUUUUAACAUGAUUCUCGUUUUCGUGAAAGAGCAAGUGUAGCGAGCCGCUAUGUGUACGGACCUGCUGAUCCUGGCCGGCUCCUUCCUGCUGUGUAUCUGCAUCACCAAGAAAUGUAACUUCAGGAAGCGCAACUACUGCGUGCCGCGGUCCAUGCGCACUGACCGCAGCCAGGUGCCGGUGACGGUGGCGCGCGCCGCCAGCCCCGCCGCCCGCACCCCCCGCGCCCCCCCCGGCGUCCGCGCCCGCGCCGCGACGCCUGCCACGAUCUGACCAGCGCAAAUACUCGUUUGGAUGUCACCCCCCCGAGCGCCCCCACCAUGACCGGCUGGAGCCUCCAGCAGUCACUUGUGUUCUCAAUUUUAUUAUUGAUCGUGUUAAUUUAAAUCUGAAAUAAAAAUAGUAUAAUGCUGUCUACAUAAUUAUUA